rnacentral:lncRNA from 1 species
GCCGCCAAAAAGGAUUUUUUAAGAAUAUUGAGGGUCUUCUUCUUAGUGCAUAAGUCUUUGAGGAAUUUGGCAUAUAUGAAAAUUUGUUGGAUCAUAUCUAGUAGAGAAAUAUUUACUUUCACUUAUUUAAACAUCUCUAAGAUUUGAUCCAUAUGGGCUGAAUGUCUGUUGGACCUAAGUCUAUUUGAAAAAGGAGCUACAGGAUUGGUGGGUGAUA